rnacentral:lncRNA from 1 species
UCAAAUAUGACAACUUACUUUGGAGGGCGUGUAAAAAAAGUGCUAAUCUUCAUUGCAAGAAAACAGUAAUGUUCAAAUAUACAAAAUCUCCCUAACUACAAGAUACAUUAGUUGCAUGUCAUCCUUUCGCAGAACAUCCAACAAAGCACGAAAAACAGAUGAAGGCUUUAGAAGUUGUGUUCCUCCAUAUACUUCAGCAGCAUUUGUACUGAAUGUUGAUUCGAAACAAAAAGCUGAAAAGGAGAAAAUGUACAGUAAUUACAGUUACCCACAUACCUCCAUGUAUCCAUCAUUUAAUAUUUCAUGUGUAUGGUAAUGAACUUCCAUAAAACAAAAAAAUAAAGAGGAAGUCUAUCAAACAAUAAUCAAUUAAAAACAGUGACAAAAUAACAGGGUAUAACCUGAGCUUUCCCUUGGUUAGUUCCUACAGCUAGAACGCUCCAUCUAACUAACUAAAGAAAUGAGUGUCAUCCAAAUCCCAGACCUUACUUCUGUGCUGCAUUUAUUGGCCAAAAUGUUGCCUGCAGCCACUCAGUCAAAAGCAACAAGCUGGGGAUAAGCGCCACUAUGGAUCCUCAAAAAUGCCACAGACCCAAUCUUUAGUUUAGGCUGAGGAUACUUGACGUCCCUUUGUCCGGCACGACUCUGAGCCUUACUCGCCAGACUGUGAUAAAAUAAAUGUGUGCAAAACCAGAAGUUAGAUAGAAAUGAAAUUUCUCAUAUAUUUUUGUAGAAGGAUUCUGCAAGAGGGGAAAUAUAAUCUUGAUGAUAGCGGUCAGACACAUAUUAAGCA